CAGUCGCCGCGGGAAUACGAAGGGGGCUAGCGUUGCUCGGAAUUACUGGGCGUAAAGGGAGCGUAGGCGGACAUUUAAGUCAGGGGUGAAAUCCCAGAGCUCAACUCUGGAACUGCCUUUGAUACUGGGUGUCUUGAGUGUGAUAGAGGUAUGUGGAACUCCGAGUGUAGAGGUGAAAUUCGUAGAUAUUCGGAGGAACACCGGUGGCGAAGGCGGCUCACUGGACCAUUACUGACGCUGAGGUGCGAAAGCGUGGGGAGCAAACAGGAUUAGAUACCCCGGUAGUCCCUGUCUCUUAUAA
rnacentral:rRNA from 1 species